UACGUAGGGGGCAAGCGUUGUCCGGAUUCAUUGGGCGUAAAGAGCGUGUAGGCGGCCAGGUAGGUCGGUUGUGAAAACUGGAGGCUCAACCUUCAGAGGUCGACCGAAACCAUCUGGCUAGAGUUCGGUAGGGGAGAUCGGAAUUCCUGGUGUAGCGGUGAAAUGCGCAGAUAUCAGGAGGAACACCGGUGGCGAAGGCGGAUCUCUGGGCCGAUACUGACGCUGAGGAGCGAAAGCGUGGGGGGCGAACAGG
rnacentral:rRNA from 1 species